GACGAACGCUGGCGGCGUGCUUAACACAUGCAAGUCGAGCGAGACCCCGCUUUCGGGUGGGUGUUCUAGCGGCGAACGGGUGAGUAACACGUGGGCAACCUGCCCUCAGCUCUGGGAUAACUCCAAGAAAUUGGGGCUAACACCGGAUAUGACCGCUGACCGCAUGGUCUGGUGGUGGAAAGAUUUAUCGGCUGGGGAUGGGCCCGCGGCCUAUCAGCUUGUUGGUGGGGUAGUGGCCUACCAAGGCGACGACGGGUAGCCGGCCUGAGAGGGUGACCGGCCACACUGGGACUGAGACACGGCCCAGACUCCUACGGGAGGCAGCAGUGGGGAAUAUUGCGCAAUGGGCGAAAGCCUGACGCAGCGACGCCGCGUGGGGGAUGACGGCCUUCGGGUUGUAAACCUCUUUCAGCAGGGACGAAGCGAAAGUGACGGUACCUGCAGAAGAAGCACCGGCCAACUACGUGCCAGCAGCCGCAGUAA
rnacentral:rRNA from 1 species